rnacentral:rRNA from 1 species
CCUAGAAAAAAUCUAGGGUGUAACCUGCCCAAUGACUUCUAAUUAAUGACCAUAAACAGUUUAAGAGAAGCUUAAAGGACGCAGUAACUUGACUGUGAUAAUGUAGCAUAAUCAUUCGCCAUUUAAUUGAUGGAUAGCAUGAAAGGUUGAACGAAUCCCCCACUGUCUAAAAAAGAGAAGUCAUGAAAUUAAAAUAAUAGUUAAGAUGCUAUUUAAUAUUGUAAGACGAAAAGACCCUAUAGAGCUUAACUAUAACACCUUAAGUUAAAAUUUUAAUUAAAAGGGGACGUGCUAGUUUAGUUGGGGCGACUACCUUCUAAAAACAACGAAGGCAAGCAACAUCAAUAAAAGAUUUAUUGUACAACUAAUAAGUUUAACAAUUACUAUAGUAGGCUAUACUGACCCGUUUAAAUUUAGUAAUGAAUUUAACGAUCAAUAAAUAAAAGCUACCUUAGGGAUAACAGAAUUAUUUUGUCCCAGAGACCCUAUCGAAGACAAAGUUUAUCACCUCUAUGUUGAAUUAAGAUAUCCAAGCAAUGCAGAAGUUGCUAAGGGUAGGUCUGUUCGACCUUUAAAAU